AUUGAACGCUGGCGGCAGGCCUAACACAUGCAAGUCGAGCGGAGCGGCGGACGGACGAGUGAUGCCUAGGAAUCUGCCUGGUCGUGGGGGAUAACGUCCGGUAACGGGAGCUAAUACCGCAUCCUAUCAGAUGAGCCUAGGCCGGUGUAGCUAGUUGGUGGGGUAACGGCUUACCAAGGCCACGAUGCAUAGCCGACCUGAGAGGGUGAUCGGCCACACUGGGACGGAGACACGGCCCAGACUCCUACGGGAGGCAGCAGUAGGGAAUCUUCGGCAAUGGACGAAAGCCUGAUCCAGCCAUGCCGCGUGUGUGAAGAAGGUCUUCGGAUUGUAAAGCACUUUUAGUUGGGAGGCGGUACCAACAGAAUAAGCACCGGCUAACUUCGUGCCAGCAGCCGCGGUAAUAC
rnacentral:rRNA from 1 species